UUUGAAGUCUGAACCUCUCCGAGCUCGAGAUACUCUUAGGCAGCAGUUUGCCUUCAAAGUCGCCUCCCUGGCUGUGCUUGCCACCUCUUGUGAUUUAGCACUGCAGCUCGCAUUUCUUCCACAGCUAGUCAUGAGGUUUACUUGCUAAAAUCUCAUCUUCUCCUCUUAAUUAGGCAUUUUCAUGCAAUGAACCAUAUGGAAGUCAAUGCAAAAGGUGUUGAUGUGCAGCAUGGAUGCUGAUUGAUAAAGCUGGCAGAUGGGGAGAUCAUCGGCUUUGAAGACUGUGAAGUUUCCUCUGGAACUAAAUAAAUAAGCUAUGGAAACCCUCAGUUCAAGGCUCUUGCAGCUCGUACGUAAACGCAAUAGGUAGCCAGGCAGCUGCUUGGAAAGUGCUCGCGAGGAGCCUGUCCACUGGGAUUCUGGAGCAGAAGACACACUUUGGUCUUAGAGGGGUGCCAAUUCAGCGAGGCCAGAUUCUGUCACCUUUACUUCCAGCAAGGCAUUUGUCCCACGGACCUCCACAGCUCCUGGAAGAAAUAAAGCUCUGCAAAGCAGAUCCUGGCUGGCCAGGACUCAGUUCCUCUGUCUGGCUCUUUUACCGAGGGAGAGGC
rnacentral:lncRNA from 1 species